UUAUUUGAGAGUUUGAUCCUGGCUCAGGAUGAACGCUGGCGGCGUGCCUAACACAUGCAAGUUGAGCGAUUUACUUCGGUAAAGAGCGGCGGACGGGUGAGUAACGCGUGGGUAACCUACCCUGUACACACGGAUAACAUACCGAAAGGUAUGCUAAUACGGGAUAAUAUAUUUGAGAGGCAUCUCUUGAAUAUCAAAGGUGAGCCAGUACAGGAUGGACCCGCGUCUGAUUAGCUAGUUGGUAAGGUAACGGCUUACCAAGGCGACGAUCAGUAGCCGACCUGAGAGGGUGAUCGGCCACAUUGGAACUGAGACACGGUCCAAACUCCUACGGGAGGCAGCAGUGGGGAAUAUUGCACAAUGGGCGAAAGCCUGAUGCAGCAACGCCGCGUGAGUGAUGAAGGCCUUCGGGUCGUAAAACUCUGUCCUCAAGGAAGAUAAUGACGGUACUUGAGGAGGAGGCCCCGGCUAACUACGUGCCAGCAGCCGCGGUAAUACGUAGGGGGCUAGCGUUAUCCGGAUUUACUGGGCGUAAAGGGUGCGUAGGCGGUCUUUCAAGUCAGGAGUGAAAGGCUACG
rnacentral:rRNA from 1 species